rnacentral:rRNA from 1 species
CACGUAGGGUGCGAGCGUUGUCCGGAAUUAUUGGGCGUAAAGAGCUCGUAGGCGGUGUGUCGCGUCGGCCGUGAAAACCUGCAGCUUAACUGUGGGCUUGCGGUCGAUACGGGCAUCACUGGAGUUCGGCAGGGGAGACUGGAAUUCCUGGUGUAGCGGUGAAAUGCGCAGAUAUCGGGAGGAACACCGGUGGCGAAGGUGGUUCUCUGGGCCUUACCUGACGCUGAGGAGCGAAAGCGUGGGGAGCGAACAGG